rnacentral:rRNA from 1 species
UGGAAACGACUGCUAAGACUGGAUAGGAGACAAGAAGGCAUCUUCUUGUUUUUAAAAGACCUAGCAAUAGGUAUGCUUAGGUAGGAGCUUGCGUCACAUUAGUUAGUUGGUGGGGUAAAGGCCUACCAAGACUAUGAUGUGUAGCCGGGCUGAGAGGUUGAACGGCCACAUUGGGACUGAGACACGGCCCAAACUCCUACGGGAGGCAGCAGUAGGGAAUUUUCGGCAAUGGAGGAAACUCUGACCGAGCAACGCCGCGUGAACGAUGAAGUAUUUCGGUACGUAAAGUUCUUUUAUUAGGGAAGAAUAAAUGAUGGAAAAAUCAUUCUGACGGUACCUAAUGAAUAAGCCCCGGCUAACUAUGUGCCAGCAGCCGCGGUAAUACAUAGGGGGCAAGCGUUAUCCGGAAUUAUUGGGCGUAAAGGGUGCGUAGGCGGUUAAAUAAGUUUAUGGUCUAAGUGCAAUGCUCAACAUUGUGAUGCUAUAAAAACUGUUUAGCUAGAGUAAGAUAGAGGCAAGUGGAAUUCCAUGUGUAGUGGUAAAAUGCGUAAAUAUAUGGAGGAACACCAGUAGCGAAGGCGGCUUGCUGGGUCUUUACUGACGCUGAGGCACGAAAGCGUGGGGAGCAAACAGGAUUAGAUACCCUGGUAGUCCACGCCGUAAACGAUGAGUACUAAACGUUGGUUAAAACCAGUGUUGAAGUUAACACAUUAAGUACUCCGCCUGAGUAGUACGUACGCAAGUAUGAAACUUAAAGGAAUUGACGGGACUCCGCACAAGCGGUGGAUCAUGUUGUUUAAUUCGAAGGUACCCGAAAAACCUCACCAGGUCUUGACAUGCUUCUGCAAAGCUGUAGAAACACAGUGGAGGUUAUCAGUUGCACAGGUGGUGCAUGGUUGUCGUCAGCUCGUGUCGUGAGAUGUUGGGUUAAGUCCCGCAACGAGCGCAACCCUUAUUGUUAGUUACCAGCACGUAAUGGUGGGGACUUUAGCAAGACUGCCAGUGAUAAAUUGGAGGAAGGUGGGGACGACGUCAAAUCAUCAUGCCCCUUAUGACCUGGGCUACAAACGUGAUACAAUGGCUGUUACAAAGGGUAGCUGAAGCGCAAGUUUUUGGCGAAUCUCAAAAAAACAGUCUCAGUUCGGAUUGAAGUCUGCAACUCGACUUCAUGAAGUUGGAAUCGCUAGUAAUCGCGAAUCAGCAUGUCGCGGUGAAUACGUUCUCGGGGUUUGUACACACCGCCCGUCAAAC